rnacentral:rRNA from 1 species
CCUACGGGCGGCAGCAGUGGGGAAUAUUGGACAAUGGGGGGAACCCUGAUCCAGCGACGCCGCGUGAGUGAAGAAGUAUUUCGGUAUGUAAAGCUCUAUCAGCAGGGAAGAAAGAAAUGACGGUACCUGAAUAAAAAGCCCCGGCUAACUACGUGCCAGCAGCCGCGGUAAUACGUAGGGGGAAAGCGUUAUCCGGAUUUACUGGGUGUAAAGGGAGCGUAGAGGGCGAUGCAAGUCUGAAGUGAAAGGCGGGGGCCCAACCCCCGGACUGCUUUGGAAACUGUAUGGCUAGAGUGCAGGAGAGGUAAGUGGAAUUCCUAGUGUAGCGGUGAAAUGCGUAGAUAUUAGGAGGAACACCAGUGGCGAAGGCGGCUUACUGGACUGUAACUGACGUUGAGGCUCGAAAGCGUGGGGAGCAAACAGGAUUAGAUACCCCUGUAGUC